GGCAAAAUGCAAUUUCGAAGAAGUCGCGGGGAGAACUUGUAAAAUCCGAAAAAGGAAAGGUCAAAGUUGUAAAUCCGAAAAGGGAAAGGUCAAAGUUGUAUUUCCUUAUAAAUUCUGGCAUCACGGACCAAACGGCCCUAAAAUCGCCAUCGUACGCCCCGAAAGCUCAAAGGUACGAUUUUCUGUGUCUCAAAUUCCAAUUUGAAUUCGCGUUCUGGUCUCGCGGUCAUCUAUUUCCUUUGAGCCAUGCGUCCGUUGAUCCGCUUCAAUCCCAUUUUCCUGCUAUUUUCCCGGGAAAAUUUAGCGAGAAAAUGAGGAGGAAGCCGGUAAGAACGGUCUUCCUGUUUCCAAACCUGCGUCGCUGUCCGUUCUUCGGAUGAUCCUACGCUGUGGUUUCAUCCGUUUGAUGUUCGAUUGACUCGAUUUGGGAUUUUUCCUGUCUUCGUCCCGAUUUUGCGAUCUAGGGUUUUAUCCUCUUUGGGGGUUUUUCUUGCAUAGCCGCAAGUUGUUUUCUUUGACUUAUCUUUUCUCGAUGCUUGCGCGUUCUGAGCUUGGGAAUCUAAAUAUAGGGCUCCGUUGAGUUUUUUCUACGUGAAGUCGGAUGUGGGGUGACUCUGAAAACUUGCAUUCGUUUCGAUCUUGUAUCUGCUUGUGGGUAGAUUGCCCGAAUUCGAAUCGAGGUACAAGGAGCUUGAUUUUCUCAUUGAAAGGGGAUGCUGGACGUCUGCCUGCUCCUUUUGAUGAUGUGUCGAAGGAGUCGGAGCUCAAAUCGCAUUGUCGAGACGAAGCGGGUCUUCUUUUAUCUUAUGUCGCCGAGUAUGAUAGUCUUUUUUAUCGGGGCAUUGAGAGGGAAGUACUGCCGCGGCGGUGUUCUAGUUCUCCAAUUGGAUUCAGUGAGAUGCCAGAAAGGGCCUUAGUAGUAUAGUGGAUCUAUUUAAUGCCUUACCUUAGUGCUAGUCUUGAGCUGUAGCAUUGGAGGUUAGAAUUUAUGGACCUUUACAACUGCCGCGAAAAAGGAAAACAAGAAAAACUUGAGAAAUUGUGACAUGAUUUAUGUUCAUUAAAUGUGGAGGACAAGUUUGUGCCAGAUUGUAGCUAGAUUGUGCAUUUAAAAGCCAUGAAAGGCCUCAGAAUAUAACAUGUGGAGGACAAGUUUUUGCCGGAUUGUAGCUAUAGAUUAUGCAUUUAAAAGCCAUGAAAGGAUUCGGAAUUUUUAUUUUUCUUUGUGCCGUUAAGUUACCCAUGUAGCUGAUUUUGAAGAGAUGGGAUUGUUUCUUAUAUUGCAGGAAAAAGUUUAUAGUAUAUGGAUAACAAAUCACCACCGUGCAAGGAGGUUGCUGACGAAUUGACUCGGGAGUCACUUAUCGCGAUCUCUUAUUUAGAACCGGAUAACCCUGCCAAUAUGAAUGUUCAACCUAAAAGCUGCAUUGUUGCAAAUGAUGAUGCAGUGACUGAUGGUGACAACACCGAGAAGUACAGGUCAGAGCUCAUGUCCAUCUCUGAAUUGCCGCCGCCUAAUACUUCACCUGUUGCUGUGGAUCCUUGAGGAUUAAGGGGGUUUCAAUUUCUUUGAAAGACCAUUUUGACUAAGUGACAAGCUUGCUUUGAUGUAGAACAAGUGGAAUGUCUUUUAAUGCUGCUUUCUUCUUCUGUGGAGCUGUCAAAUUCUACUGAAAAUAUGUGCAGUAUCGAACUCCAUGUACAAAAGUGAU
rnacentral:lncRNA from 1 species